rnacentral:rRNA from 1 species
UACGGAGGGUGCAAGCGUUAUCCGGAUUCACUGGGUUUAAAGGGUGCGUAGGUGGGCAAGUAAGUCAGUGGUGAAAUCUCCGGGCUUAACCCGGAAACUGCCAUUGAUACUAUUUGUCCUGAAUACUGUGGAGGUCAGCGGAAUAUGUCAUGUAGCGGUGAAAUGCUUAGAUAUGACAUAGAACACCAAUUGCGAAGGCAGCUGGCUACACAAAUAUUGACACUGAGGCACGAAAGCGUGGGGAUCAAACAGG